rnacentral:rRNA from 1 species
UACGUAGGGUGCGAGCGUUGUCCGGAUUUAUUGGGCGUAAAGAGCGUGUAGGCGGCCAGACAGGUCCGUUGUGAAAACUCGAGGCUCAACCUCGAGACGUCGAUGGAAACCGUCUGGCUAGAGUCCGGAAGAGGAGAGUGGAAUUCCUGGUGUAGCGGUGAAAAUGCGCAGAUAUCAGGAAGAACACCUAUGGCGAAGGCAGCUCUCUGGGACGGUACUGACGCUGAGACGCGAAAGCGUGGGGAGCGAACAGG